rnacentral:rRNA from 1 species
UACGAAGGGGGCUAGCGUUGUUCGGAUUUACUGGGCGUAAAGGGCGCGUAGGCGGUCAGCACAAGUCAGUUGUGAAAUCUCCGGGCUUAACCCGGAAAGGUCAACUGAUACUGUGCGACUAGAGUGCGGAAGGGGGCAACUGGAAUUCUCGGUGUAGCGGUGAAAUGCGUAGAUAUCGAGAGGAACACCUGCGGCGAAGGCGGGUUGCUGGGCCCGACACUGACGCUGAUGCGCGAAAAGCCAGGGGGAGCGAAACGGGG